rnacentral:rRNA from 1 species
AUACGAAGGGGGCUAGCGUUGUUCGGAAUUACUGGGCGUAAAGCGCACGUAGGCGGACUUUUAAGUCAGAUGUGAAAUCCCGGGGCUCAACCUCGGAACUGCAUUUGAAACUGGAAGUCUAGAGACCAGGAGAGGUUAGCGGAAUACCGAGUGUAGAGGUGAAAUUCGUAGAUAUUCGGUGGAACACCAGUGGCGAAGGCGGCUAACUGGACUGGUACUGACGCUGAGGUGCGAAAGUGUGGGGAGCAAACAGGAUUAGAUACCCUGGUAGUCCACACCGUAAACGAUGAGAGCUAGUUGUUGGCAGGCAUGCCUGUCGGUGACGCAGCUAACGCAUUAAGCUCUCCGCCUGGGGAGUACGGUCGCAAGAUUAAAACUCAAAUGAAUUGACGGGGGCCCGCACAAGCGGUGGAGCAUGUGGUUUAAUUCGAUGCAACGCGAAGAACCUUACCUACUCUUGACAUACUAGAAACUUUUCAGAGAUGAAUUGGUGCCUUCGGGAAUCUAGAUAC